UUCAAUAACUUUAGUUCUCUUUCUUCUGAAAAUAUUCCAAAAAAAUUAACAAAAUGUCAAUAUUAAGGACCGUCUGUACCCGGUCGAUGUAGCUAAGGUCAAAGCUCUAACCAUUGGACAAUGUCAUCGGUAUAUACAUAUUAGCGUAUCCGAUAACAUAAAACAGUUCGACAACGGAGGCAUUACUAACAUAAACAGAAAACCGUAAUCGCACAGUCGGGAUUUCGACGAAAUAUAUUUUCAGUUUCGUCUCCCUUAAAUUAUGCCGGAGCAUUUUUUAACCUACCCUUCCUGAAACGCAAGCAUAUAGCUAGAUGUCUAAUACGAUUUGUGCCGCUUCAACACCCUUCAUAAUUUCUGGCCGUCGAUAUCUCUCCCACAAAUAACAACGGAACUUUUAUUAAAGUAACAGCGAAUAAGAUAGUUAUCGCUGCUGGCAUAGCCUCUUAUCACUAAAACAUCUCAACAAGUUUUCACACCAUAGAAUUUAUACGGAAUAAAAAAUGUUUAACA